CACUUGUUCCUUUGUGGUCGUUGAACGCCUGUAACGUUCCAGGUGCUUGGGAUCCAUGAGUGAAUAAAACCAAGGGCCCUGCCUUCCUUGGGACUUACAGUCCAGGGGAGACAGAGCCGCUGAUUUCAGGUCUCAUCCUUUGGCCCUUCUUAUCAGGAUGAAAACGCUUCUGUUUGGUGUCUGGACCCUGCUGGCCUUGAUCCUUUGCCAGGGAUUCAAAAGGACACAAGCCUUGGCAUCACUGUGUAUUAGCCACCAGAGCAAGUGAUCCUGGAGCUGCAGCCUGCCUGGGUGGCUGUGGACGAAGCCUUCACAGUGAAGUGUCAUGUACCCAGUGUAGCACCCUUGGAGAGUCUCACCCUUGCCCUUCUCCAGGGUAACCAAGAACUGCAUAGAAAGAACUUUACGAGCUUGGCUGUGGCCUCCCAAAGAGCUGAAGUCAUCAUCAGUGUCAGAGCCCAAAAGGAGAAUGACAGAUGCAAUUCUUCCUGCCAUGCAGAACUGGACUUGAGUUUGCAAGGUGGGAGGCUCUUUCAAGGCAGCUCACCCAUCAGAAUAGUCCGGAUCUUUGAAUUCUCUCAGAGUCCCCACAUCUGGGUCUCUUCCCUUUUGGAGGCUGGGAUGGCGGAGACUGUGAGCUGCGAGGUGGCUAGGGUGUUUCCAGCCAAAGAAGUUAUGUUCCACAUGUUCCUGGAAGACCAAGAGCUGAGCUCCUUCCUUUCCUGGGAGGGGGACACAGCAUGGGCCAAUGCUACCAUUCGGACCAUGGAGGCUGGUGAUCAGGAACUGUCUUGCUUUGCAUCUCUGGGUGCAAUGGAACAGAAGA
rnacentral:lncRNA from 1 species